rnacentral:rRNA from 1 species
AUGGUGGUACCGAAAAGUGCUUCUGUAAUGGUCAUAUGUGUCGUGGAGUUGGAACUUGGUUCUUUUGAAGUUGGAGUGGCUAGGUUGUCUAUAAAUACAUGCUGCCCACUAAAAUCAGAUUUUAGUAUACUGUUUAAAUCAGGGGUGGAUCAUUGUGUUGUGUUCGAAUUAGAGCUAGAGAGAAGGGAAGAGUUGCGACCAUACCAUUUAUUUAUACUGCAUGGUCCCACUGUCGAUUUUCUUAAAGUACAUUUGCCUUUUCUUAAAGUACAUUACCCUCUUGUUCUUGGAAGAAUAGAUUGA